rnacentral:rRNA from 1 species
AGAGUUUGAUCAUGGCUCAGAAUGAACGCUGGCGGCGUGCUUAACACAUGCAAGUCGAACGUGAAAGUCCUUCGGGAUGAGUAAAGUGGCGAACGGGUGCAUAACGCGUGAGAAUCUGCCCUCGAGUGAAGGAUACCCUGGAGAAAUCCAGGCUAAUACUGCAUAAUCCGGUUCGCCGGUAAAGGUGGCCUCUUGCUACCGCUCAAGGAUGAGCUCGCGUACUAUUAGCUAGUUGGUGAGGUAAAGGCUCACCAAGGCUCAGAUGGUUAGCUGGCCUGAGAGGGUGACCAGCCACAAUGGGACUGAGAUACGGCCCAUACUCCUACGGGAGGCAGCAGUGGGGAAUAUUGCACAAUGGGCGAAAGCCUGAUGCAGCGACGCCGCGUGGAGGAUGAAGGUUUUCGGAUUGUAAACUCCUGUUAAGUGGGAAGAAAGAACGUGUGUUAAUACCACACGGUGAUGACGGUACCACUAGAGAAAGCACCGGCUAACUUCGUGCCAGCAGCCGCGGUAAUACGAGGGGUGCAAGCGUUAUUCGGAAUAACUGGGCGUAAAGAGCGCGUAGGCGGCUUGUUAAGUCUGUUGUUAAAUUGUCUGGCCUAACCAGAUGUCGGCAAUAGAAACUGUCAAGCUUGAGGACAAGAGAGAGGGGUGGAAUUCUCGGAGUAGCGGUAAAAUGCGUAGAUCUCGAGAGGAACACCGAUGGCGAAGGC